rnacentral:rRNA from 3 species
ACCCUUUAAUGUUUGAUGUUCUAACGUGGACCCGUAAUCCGGGUUGCGGACAGUGUCUGGUGGGUAGUUUGACUGGGGCGGUCUCCUCCUAAAGAGUAACGGAGGAGCACGAAGGUUGGCUAAUCCUGGUCGGACAUCAGGAGGUUAGUGCAAUGGCAUAAGCCAGCUUGACUGCGAGCGUGACGGCGCGAGCAGGUGCGAAAGCAGGUCAUAGUGAUCCGGUGGUUCUGAAUGGAAGGGCCAUCGCUCAACGGAUAAAAGGUACUCCGGGGAUAACAGGCUGAUACCGCCCAAGAGUUCAUAUCGACGGCGGUGUUUGGCACCUCGAUGUCGGCUCAUCACAUCCUGGGGCUGAAGUAGGUCCCAAGGGUAUGGCUGUUCGCCAUUUAAAGUGGUACGCGAGCUGGGUUUAGAACGUCGUGAGACAGUUCGGUCCCUAUCUGCCGUGGGCGCUGGAGAACUGAGGGGGGCUGCUCCUAGUACGAGAGGACCGGAGUGGACGCAUCACUGGUGUUCGGGUUGUCAUGCCAAUGGCACUGCCCGGUAGCUAAAUGCGGAAGAGAUAAGUGCUGAAAGCAUCUAAGCACGAAACUUGCCCCGAGAUGAGUUCUCCCUGAGACUUAGAGUCUCCUGAAGGAACGUUGAAGACGACGACGUUGAUAGGCCGGGUGUGUAAGCGCAGCGAUGCGUUGAGCUAACCGGUACUAAUGAACCGUGAGGCUUAACCUUACAAC